rnacentral:tRNA from 1 species
GCUCAUAUGGCCGAGUGGUCUAAGGCGAUGGUUUUAAGCACCAUUAUCGAAAGAUGCGUGAGUUCGAACCUCACUGUGAGCA